UACGUAGGGUGCGAGCGUUAAUCGGAAUUACUGGGCGUAAAGCGUGCGUAGGCGGUUCGCUGUGUCCGAUGUGAAAGCCCCCGGGCUUAACCUGGGAAUGGCAUUGGAAACUGGCGGGCUUGAGUGCGGCAGAGGGGGGGGUGAAUUCCGCGUGUAGCAGUGAAAUGCGUAGAGAUGCGGAGGAACACCGAUGGCGAAGGCAGCCCCCCUGGGAUAACACUGACGCUCAUGCACGAAAGCGUGGGGAGCAAACAGG
rnacentral:rRNA from 1 species